rnacentral:rRNA from 1 species
GCAUGCAGUCGAGCGACGCAUACCGGAGGGGUAACCCACCGGUAUGACGGAGCGGCGAACGGGUGAGUAACACGUGAGUAACCUGCCCCACAGACCGGGACAGCCCAGGGAAACCUGGAUUAAUACCGGAUACCCUCGAAGGAUCGCAUGAUCUUUCGAGGAAAUGCCUUUGUGCUGUGGGAUGGGCUCGCGACUUAUCAGCUAGUUGGUGGGGUAACGGCCUACCAAGGCGUCGACGAGUAGCUGGUCUGAGAGGACGAUCAGCCACACUGGGACUGAGACACGGCCCAGACUCCUACGGGAGGCAGCAGCAGGGAAUCUUGCGCAAUGGGCGAAAGCCUGACGCAGCAACGCCGCGUGGGGGAUGAAGGCCUUCGGGUUGUAAACCCCUUUCAGGAGGGAAGAAAUUGACGGUACCUCCAAAAGAAGCACCGGCCAACUACGUGCCAGCAGCCGCGGUAAUACGUAGGGUGCGAGCGUUAUCCGGAAUCAUUGGGCGUAAAGAGCUCGUAGGCGGUUCAGUAAGUCGGCUGUGAAAUUUCGAGGCUCAACCUCGAAACUGCAGUCGAAACUGCUGUGACUCGAGUCCGGUAGAGGAGAAUGGAAUUCCCGGUGUAGCGG